GUGGGGAAUAUUGGACAAUGGGCGAAAGCCUGAUCCAGCCAUGCCGCGUGUGUGAAGAAGGUCUUCGGAUUGUAAAGCACUUUAAGUUGGGAGGAAGGGCAGUAAGUUAAUACCUUGCUGUUUUGACGUUACCGACAGAAUAAGCACCGGCUAACUUCGUGCCAGCAGCCGCGGUAAUACGAAGGGUGCAAGCGUUAAUCGGAAUUACUGGGCGUAAAGCGCGCGUAGGUGGUUUUGUAAGUUGGAGGUGAAAUCCCCGGGCUCAACCUGGGAACUGCCUACAAAACUGCAUGACUAGAGUACGGUAGAGGGUAGUGGAAUUUCCUGUGUAGCGGUGAAAUGCGUAGAUAUAGGAAGGAACACCAGUGGCGAAGGCGACUACCUGGACUGAUACUGACACUGAGGUGCGAAAGCGUGGGGAGCAAACAGGAUUAGAUACCCUUGUAGUCC
rnacentral:rRNA from 1 species